CCUGGUAGUGGGGGACAACGUUCGGAAACGGACGCUAAUACCGCAUACGUCCUACGGGAGAAAGCAGGGGACCUUCGGGCCUUGCGCUAUCAGAUGAGCCUAGGUCGGAUUAGCUAGUUGGUGGGGUAAUGGCUCACCAAGGCGACGAUCCGUAACUGGUCUGAGAAGAUGAUCAGUCACACUGGAACUGAGACACGGUCCAGACUCCUACGGGAGGCAGCAGCGGGGAAUAUUGGACAAUGGGCGAAAGCCUGAUCCAGCCAUGCCGCGUGUGUGAAGAAGGUCUUCGGAUUGUAAAGCACUUUAAGUUGGGAGGAAGGGUUGUAGAUUAAUACUCUGCAAUUUUGACGUUACCGACAGAAUAAGCACCGGCUAACUCUGUGCCAGCAGCCGCGGUAAUACAGAGGGUGCAAGCGUUAAUCGGAAUUACUGGGCGUAAAGCGCGCGUAGGUGGUUAGUUAAGUUGGAUGUGAAAUCCCCGGGCUCAACCUGGGAACUGCAUUCAAGACUGACUGACUAGAGUAUGGUAGAGGGUGGUGGAAUUUCCUGUGUAGCGGUGAAAUGCGUAGAUAUAGGAAGGAACACCAGUGGCGAAAGCAACCACCUGGACUGAUACUGACACUGAGGUGCGAAAGCGUGGGGAGCAAACAGGAUUAGAUACCCUGGUAGUCCACGCCGUAAACGAUGUCAACUA
rnacentral:rRNA from 1 species